rnacentral:rRNA from 1 species
AGCCGUCCUUGAAAUACCACCCUUUAAUGGCUGGUGUUCUAACGUAGACCCGUGAACCGGGUUGCGGACAGUGUCUGGUGGGUAGUUUGACUGGGGCGGUCUCCUCCUAAAGCGUAACGGAGGAGCACGAAGGUUGGCUAAUCCUGGUCGGACAUCAGGAGGUUAGUGCAAUGGCAUAAGCCAGCUUGACUGCGAGCGUGACGGCGCGAGCAGGUGCGAAAGCAGGUCAUAGUGAUCCGGUGGUUCUGAAUGGAAGGGCCAUCGCUCAACGGAUAAAAGGUACUCCGGGGAUAACAGGCUGAUACCGCCCAAGAGUUCAUAUCGACGGCGGUGUUUGGCACCUCGAUGUCGGCUCAUCACAUCCUGGGGCUGAAGUAGGUCCCAAGGGUAUGGCUGUUCGCCAUUUAAAGUGGUACGCGAGCUGGGUUUAGAACGUCGUGAGACAGUUCGGUCCCUAUCUGCCGUGGGCGCUGGAGAACUGAGGGGGGCUGCUCCUAGUACGAGAGGACCGGAGUGGACGCAUCACUGGUGUUCGGGUUGUCAUGCCAAUGGCACUGCCCGGUAGCUAAAUGCGGAAGAGAUAAGUGCUGAAAGCAUCUAAGCACGAAACUUGCCCCGAGAUGAGUUCUCCCUGAGACUACAAGUCUCCUGAAGGAACGUU